rnacentral:rRNA from 1 species
GCAGUCGAGGGGCAGCGCGGGUAGCAAUACCUGGCGGCGACCGGCAAACGGGUGCGGAACACGUACGCAACCUUUCCCAAAACUGGUGAAUAGCCCUCCGAAAGGAGGAUUAAUACACCGUACCAUAACGAAGAGGCAUCUCUUUGUUAUUAUAGUAGCAAUACGGUUUUGGAUGGGCGUGCGCCUGAUUAGGUAGUUGGCGGGGUAACGGCCCACCAAGCCUGCGAUCAGUAACUGGUGUGAGAGCACGACCAGUCACACGGGCACUGAGACACGGGCCCGACUCCUACGGGAGGCAGCAGUAAGGAAUAUUGGUCAAUGGACGCAAGUCUGAACCAGCCAUGCCGCGUGAAGGAUGACGGCCCUCUGGGUUGUAAACUUCUUUUAUCUGGGACGAAAAAAGGGCUUUCUAGCUCACUUGACGGUACCAGAGGAAUAAGCACCGGCUAACUCCGUGCCAGCAGCCGCGGUAAUACGGAGGGUGCAAGCGUUAUCCGGAUUCACUGGGUUUAAAGGGUGCGUAGGUGGGCAGGUAAGUCAGUGGUGAAAUCUCCGAGCUUAACUCGGAAACUGCCAUUGAUACUAUCUGUCUUGAAUAUCCUGGAGGUGAGCGGAAUAUGUCAUGUAGCGGUGAAAUGCUUAGAUAUGACAUAGAACACCAAUUGCGAAGGCAGCUCACUACGGGAUUAUUGACACUGAGGCACGAAAGCGUGGGGAUCAAACAGGAUUAGAUACCCUGGUAGUCCACGCCCUAAACGAUGGAUACUCGACAUUUGCGAUAUACUGUAAGUGUCUGAGCGAAAGCAUUAAGUAUCCCAC